AUUCCAGCCAUGUGAGGCAAUUGGAUUUUGGAGAGGCAGACAUGUUUUUAUGCUACUAGUUAAUAGUGAAUCUCCCUUUUGGGGGUUGUAGAAGAGCAGCUUCAGGGAGCAGCUGUCUUCUGGGACAAAACUGACAACAGCAACACCAUGAAAAAUCCUGGCCUUUAGUUCUUCAGGGAUGGAGUGUUACCCAGGCUGGAGUGCCAUGGUGUGAUCUUGGCUCCCUGCAACCUCUGCCUCCUGAGUUCAAGUGAUUCUAGCGCCUCAGCCUCCCAAGUAGCUAGGAUUACAGGCACCCGCCACCAGACCCAGCUAAUUUUUGUAGUUUUUAGUAGAGCCAAUGGGGUUUCACCACGUUGGCCAGGCUGGUCUCAAACUCCUGACCUCAAAUGAUCUGCCCCCUUAGGCCUACCAAAGUGCUAGAAUUACAGCCAUGAAGCUCUGCACCCAGCCAAUACUAGCAUUUUGAUAAGAAAACUUAUAAUUUAUUUAGGAAUUCAAAGCAUAUAUAAGAACAGAAUAAUCUUGAAGGUCGAAAGAACAACUUUGAAGAACUUUAUCUUAUUUUCAAUUCAAUAUAAUGCCAUAGUAACGAAGACACAGUUACUAUUGGUAGUAUUGGUGCAAUAUUACAUAAAUGGAUCACUGGAAUUGAAUAAAGAGUCCAGAAAUAAAGCUUCAUAUUUAUAUCUAAUUGGUUUUCGACAAAGUUGUCAACUCAAUAAAGAAAGAAAAUUAUUUUUACCAUAUUUUACGGAAG
rnacentral:lncRNA from 10 species